rnacentral:rRNA from 1 species
ACCCGCACAAGCAGCGGAGCGUGUGGUUUAAUUCGUUGCUACACGAAGAACUUACCUGGGUUUGACAUAUAGGUUGUAGGGAACUGAAAGGGACCGACCCUUCGGGGAGCCUAUACAGGUGUUGCAUGGCUGUCGUCAGCUCGUGUCGUGAGAUGUUCGGUUAAGUCCGCUAACGAGCGCAACCCUCGUCGUAUGUUAUAUGUGUCAUACGAGACUGCCGGUAAAAGCCGGAGGAAGGUGAGGAUGAUGUCAAGUCAGCAUGACCUUUAUAUCCAGGGCUACACACACGCUACAAUGGUCUGUACAAUGGGUAGCCAAGCCGCGAGGCGGAGCCAAUCCUGAAAGCAGGCCUCAGUUCAGAUUGCAGUCUGCAACUCGACUGCAUGAAGCCGGAGUUGCUAGUAACCGCAGGUCAGCAAUACUGCGGUGAAUACGUUCCCGGGUCUU